rnacentral:rRNA from 1 species
AUUAAAUAGCUGCAGUAUUUUAACUGUACUAAGGUAGCAUAAUAAUUAGUCUUUUAAUUGAGGUCUGGAAUGAAUGGUUUGACAAGAAAAUAACUUUAUUAAUUAAUCUUUUUUCAAUUUUAUUUUUUAGUUAAAAAGCUAAAAUUUUUAAAUGGGACGAUAAGACCCUAUAGAUCUUAAAAUUUUUUAUAUUUAAAAUAAUUUUAUGGGUUAAUUUAAAUUUUGUUUGGGAAAAUUUUUUGUUGGGGUGACAUAUAAAUUUUUAAAACUUUAAAAUUUUCUUACAUUUAUAGAUGUAUAAAUGAUCCAAACUUUUUGAUUAUUAAAAUAAGAUACCUUAGGGAUAACAGCGUAAUAAAUUUGUAUAGUACACAUAAAUAAGUUUGUUUACGACCUCGAUGUUGAAUUAAUAUUAAUUUUUGGAGCAGAAGCUAUAAUUUUGGGUCUGUUCGACCUUUAUAAUAUUACA